CUGCUCAAUGCUUUUGUAAAUAGCCGCAGUAUUCUGACUGUGCUAAGGUAGCAUAAUCAUUAGUCUUUUAAUUGAAGGCUGGUAUGAAUGGUGAGACGAGAAAAAAGCUGUCUCUAGAAUAUUACUUGAAUUUUAUUUUUAAGUGAAAAAGCUUAAAUAUAUUUGGGGGACGAUCAGACCCUUUGGAGCUUUAUUUUUUUUGAUACUUUUCUUAAUUUAAAAUAAUAAGGUGUCAAAAAGAAUUUUGUUGGGGCGACAGAAAGUAAAGAGUAACACUUUUUUUAUUAAACACAAGUUAGUGGAGUAUUGAUCCCCAGGGAGGGAUUAAAAGAUUAAGUUACCCUAGGGAUAACAGCGUAAUCUUUUUGGAGAGUUCUAAUCGAUAAAAAGGUUUGCGACCUCGAUGUUGGAUUAAGAAAUUAACAAGGUGUAGAAGUUUUGUUGGAAAGUCUGUUCGACUUU
rnacentral:rRNA from 1 species